AAAAGCAGGGGAUCGCAAGACCUUGCGCUUUUGGAGCGGCCGAUGUCUGAUUAGCUAGUUGGUGAGGUAAAGGCUUACCAAGGCUUCGAUCAGUAGCUGGUCUGAGAGGACGACCAGCCACACUGGGACUGAGACACGGCCCAGACUCCUACGGGAGGCAGCAGUGGGGAAUUUUGGACAAUGGGGGAAACCCUGAUCCAGCCAUGCCGCGUGAGUGAAGAAGGCCUUCGGGUUGUAAAGCUCUUUCAGCCGGAACGAAAAGGUUACGGUUAAUACCCGUGACUAAUGACGGUACCGGAAGAAGAAG
rnacentral:rRNA from 1 species